UUCAGCGGUGGUUAUUGUUGUUGUUGUUGUCAUCGUGAUCGUGGUACUUCUUAUCGUUGCCAUGGUAGUUUUCUUUCAACUCAGGAAACGAAGACAUCGUCAAGAGGUAGGUCUUAUGGAGUUUCAACUCAAGUAGAUAAACACUGAAGGCUUGAAUGAGAAAAUGAAAACUUCAUUUAUAGACCACUUUGCUAAAUAGUCAAAUAAAAUCAUUGGAUACUAAUGAUUGUGUAUGGAAGAAUGGAGGAUUUGGAGGAUUUGGAAAUAAGAAUGGAUGAUUCCAGCUAUAGAUGAAAUUUUGAUGAAGGCAAGAAAGACGAAAUCCAACACCACAGCUAGAAACAGCGUUAUAGAAUGAGUAAAACUGCAACGAUUGGAUGCUAUAUGUUGUAAAAUGAAGAAAAUAUAGCCCUGUGAAAUUCACUUUCGGCUCAAAAAUGGUUGUUUUCCCGCGCGUGAUGCAAAUAUAUUUACAGGGUUAUAUUGUUCUCAAUUUGCAAUAAUGCAUAACCAAACUUUGGAAUUUUACUCAUUUUAAGAUGCUCUUUCCAGCUGUGGUAAUGGAUUUCUUUCUUCUUGUCUAGAUCAAAAUUUCGUCUUUAGCUGGAAUCAUUCAUUGAUUGAGAAGUUAUUGUGUUGCAAAUAAACACGGGUAAUAGAUAGAUAGAUAGAUAGAUAGAUAGAUA